rnacentral:rRNA from 1 species
GUAGGGUGCGAGCGUUAAUCGGAAUUACUGGGCGUAAAGCGUGCGCAGGCGGCUUUGCAAGACAGAUGUGAAAUCCCCGGGCUCAACCUGGGAACUGCAUUUGUGACUGCAAGGCUAGAGUACGGCAGAGGGGGAUGGAAUUCCGCGUGUAGCAGUGAAAUGCGUAGAUAUGCGGAGGAACACCGAUGGCGAAGGCAAUCCCCUGGGCCUGUACUGACGCUCAUGCACGAAAGCGUGGGGAGCAAACAGGAUUAGAUACCCUGGUAGUCCCACGCCCCUAAACGAUGUCAACUGGUUGUUGGACGGCUUGCUGUUCAGUAACGAAGCUAACGCGUGAAGUUGACCGCCUGGGGAGUACGGCGCAAGGUUG